UACGGAGGGUGCAAACGUUGCUCGGAAUCAUUGGGCGUAAAGCGCACGUAGGCGGACCGCUAAGUCGGAUGUGAAAGCCCUCGGCUUAACCGAGGAAGUGCAUUCGAAACUGACAGUCUUGAGUAUGGAAGAGGGUCGCGGAAUUCCCGGUGUAGAGGUGAAAUUCGUAGAUAUCGGGAGGAACACCAGUGGCGAAGGCGGCGAUCUGGCUAAUACUGACGCUGAGGUGCGAAAGCGUGGGGAGCAAACAGG
rnacentral:rRNA from 1 species